AAGAAGAAGGGGAUGGGCAUGGCUGGCGGGCUGGCGGUGGGCGCGGCGGCGGGCGUGCUUGGCGGGCUGGCGCUGGCGGGUGGGGCGAGCUACGUGGAGCACAAGAUCGAGGACCGCGUGACGGAGCGCGUGGAGGAGGACAUGUACGGCGGCGACUACUAGGCGCAUGGAUCCUUCCCGUAGCAUGAAUCUUUAUGUUUUGGACCGGACCGGAGAGUUGAGAAGAAGAGAGGUUAUUUUCUUGUGCUGUCUGUGCGUAUCAUGAAGAUGAAAUUAGGAUUGUUGAUUGCAUAAAUUUAGCUAAUCUCCAUCCAUGCAUGCAUGCAUGCAUGUGGAUGACAAUCGGGUUGAAUGAAUUUGUUCUUGUCUGCAUUCGUGCAGCUUGCAAUGGCGGCUUCCACCACAAGUCUAUUGGAAAAAGUUACUUUGUUAAUUACCUACAGUUAGUUAUGCCGUCUGAAAUUCAUUAGCCUGUGGGUUUGGGCGUUUG
rnacentral:lncRNA from 1 species